rnacentral:lncRNA from 1 species
CUCAUGAAAUCCAAAAAUGGAUUAGCCAAUCGAAAAAAAAUCCCCCUUCAAGCCAAUAGAAAUUGGCCAAAUACGUACCAGAUUCGUACCCCCAUCCCGAGAUUUGCAGAGUUGAACGUUGAGAGGCCACCUUGGCACUGUUCUAGAAGGUUCGAGGUUCUUUGACGUAUGAACUCACGUGGAGGUCACGCAAUCCGUACGAAUUGAAGGGGAAAGGAUGUAUUUGGAUUUUCUCUUCUGAAAAUGGGUCGAUGGGUUAGGGUCUUCGCUGGUUGUGUUGGGAUCGUUGAAGACGGGUCGGGUUAUCGUGAUGGCUGAGUUCACCGUUUCUUUACAGUUACAAACACUAAAAUUAAGUACAAGAAAAGACGAACCAAACAGCAAGAACCAAGGAAAGGAAAUAAAAGGGGAGGCAAAAGGAAGAAAAUAACCAUCAGUUUCAAGGCAAAAGAAAAUAUGUUUUAGAUGAAACAUCAAAGUCACAAUCUUUUACUGUAUAGUAAGCAGAUUCAAUACUGGAAUGAGAAAAAUCAAUAGUAGUCUUCCUAAAAUACUGCAAAGAACCCAUAGCUAAAUUCAAUCGCAAUCAAAUUCUACUAACAACAAACCCUCAUCAACAUUGAGUAAAUAUAGAAAACAAAUCAGAAACGAAAACCCAGAAACUAACAAAACAACUACUCUGACCAUCAGAAUCUAAUAUACUAAGUCCAUCUUUGGCAGCAAACAAUUCUCACACGAUUACGAUUAAGCGAUUAUGACACUAUUAACACAAAAAUAGUGAAAUUGUUCGAAAGCAAUCAAAUUAAACCUCAACACAAUUAUCGGUUCAACAGAACGACAACCUGUAACAAGCUAAUCACACGACUUUCACAGCCAUCCCUGCAAACAAAUGCAAGAAUCAAAACCCUAUCAUGACUAAACACUAUCACGACAGUAUAAUAAAAAGAAAUCAAAAACUAACCGGCCUUUGGGUAGCAAAACGGGACAACGAACUGGUACGGAUAUCACAACCACCAGGAAACUUCUUCACAGUCAAUUGAAACUCUAAUUUAGCUGAUGAACAAGAAUAAAAUUUCUACUCGAGACUGAAUUUUCUCAAAAAUUUUCUCUCUCCUCUCUCUCUAAUUUUUGUUUCUUUUCUCCAAGAAGAUUCCUCGACCCCCUCUUUUUGAACCAAAAGAAAUUUUCUCAACAUAGUUUUCUCAAUCAAUUUCCAAACCCUAGAAUUUCCAGCCUCCAAAGAACCCCAGAAUUUUUGACCUCCUUAACAGUGACCCAAAUGGGUUCUUAUAUAGAACAAAGGAUUGGGGUAUUUUCGGGAUUCAUAAGAAGGAAUUUUGAAUUUCCAAUUCAAAAAUUCCCCCCCUACAACCUGUUUGCGUCAAUCAAUUGUACCCCUUUUUGUUGUUUCUCAUGAAAUCCAAAAAUGGAUUAGCCAAUCGAAAAAAAAUCCCCCUUCAAGCCAAUAGAAAUUGGCCAAAUACGUACCAGAUUCGUACCCCCAUCCCGAGAUUUGCAGAGUUGAACGUUGAGAGGCCACCUUGGCACUGUUCUAGAAGGUUCGAGGUUCUUUGACGUAUGAACUCACGUGGAGGUCACGCAAUCCGUACGAAUUGAAGGGGAAAGGAUGUAUUUGGAUUUUCUCUUCUGAAAAUGGGUCGAUGGGUUAGGGUCUUCGCUGGUUGUGUUGGGAUCGUUGAAGACGGGUCGGGUUAUCGUGAUGGCUGAGUUCACCGGAUUUUGG